AUUGAACGCUGGCGGCAGGCCUAACACAUGCAAGUCGAGCGAGCGGCGGACGGGUGAGUAAUGGAUGGGUAUCUGCCUGUUGGUGGGGGAUAAGUACUGGAAAUGGUAGCUGAUACCGCAUACUCUUGGAUGAACCCAUAUGGGAUUAGCUUGUAGGUGUGGUAACGGCUUACCUAGGCGACGAUCCCUAGCUGGUCUGAGAGGAUGACCAGCCACACUGGAACUGAGACACGGCCCAGACUCCUACGGGAGGCAGCAGUGGGGAAUAUUGCACAAUGGGCGCAAGCCUGAUGCAGCCAUGCCGCGUGUGUGAAGAAGGCCUUCGGGUUGUAAAGCACUUUCAGUGGGGAGGCGUUACUCGCAGAAGAAGCACCGGCUAACUCCGUGCCAGCAGCCGCGGUAAUUC
rnacentral:rRNA from 1 species